UAACUCGAGAAGUGCCCCAGAAACGGCAAGACUAGAAUCUUGGAGAGGCGAGCGGAAUCCCGGUGUAGCGGUGAAAUGCGUAGAGAUCGGGAGGAACACCAGAGGCGAAGGCGGCUCGCUGGACAAGUAUUGACACUCAACAACGAAAGCGUGGGAGCAAACAGGAUUAGAUACCCUGGUAGUCCACGCUGUAAACGAUGGGUACUAGCUUUGGUGGGUCUUGACCCCCGCCGAAGCGGAGCUAACGCACUAAGUACCCCGCCUGGGAAGUACGGUCGCAAGACUAAAACUCAAAGGAAUUGACGGGGGCCCGCACAAGCGGUGGAUCAUGUGGUUUAAUUCGAAGCAACGCGAAAAACCUUACCUGGGUUUGACAUCCCCGGACAACCCUAGAAAUAGGGCUUCAGUAGCAAUACUGCCGGGUGACAGGUGCUGCAUGGCUGUCGUCAGCUCGUGUGGUGACAUGUUGGGUUAAGUCCCGCAACGAGCGCAACCCUUAUCUUUAGUUGCCAGCAUUCAGUUGGGCUCUCUAGAGAGACUGCCGUGGUUAACACGGAGGAAGGUGGGGAUGACGUCAAGUCCUCAUGGCCUUUAUAUCCAGGGCGACACACGUGAUACAAUGGACGGUACAGAGGGAAGCCAAAGCGCGAGCUGGAGCCAAUCUCAAAAAGCCGUUCUCAGUUCGGAUUGGAGUAUGCAACUCGAGUCCAUGAAGUUGGAAUCGC
rnacentral:rRNA from 1 species